UGGUGCGGCCGGAGGGACUCGAACCCUCACGGGAGUUACCCCACUGGGACCUAAACCCAGCGUGACUGCCAAUUCCACCACGGCCGC
rnacentral:tRNA from 1 species